ensembl:ncRNA T06F4.9 ncRNA
AAUGAGGUUCCAUCCUUUUCCAACCUCUUAAGACAUCUACUUCGCCGCCCCCACUAAAAAUAUCCACCCUCCGGUGUGGUUAGAGGUUUUCACUCACUUCGUCCUGUCAAAAUGAUCAAUUG